rnacentral:rRNA from 1 species
GACGAACGCUGGCGGCGUGCUUAACACAUGCAAGUCGAACGGAAAGGCCCUGCUUUUGUGGGGUGCUCGAGUGGCGAACGGGUGAGUAACACGUGAGUAACCUGCCCUUGACUUUGGGAUAACUUCAGGAAACUGGGGCUAAUACCGGAUAGGAGCUCCUGCUGCAUGGUGGGGGUUGGAAAGUUUCGGCGGUUGGGGCUGGACUCGCGGCUUAUCAGCUUGUUGGUGGGGUAGUGGCUUACCAAGGCUUUGACGGGUAGCCGGCCUGAGAGGGUGACCGGCCACAAUGGGACUGAGGUACGGCACAGACUCCUACGGGAGGCAGCAGUGGGGAAUAUUGCACAAUGGGCGGAAGCCUGAUGCAGCAACGCCGCGUGCGGGAUGCCGGCCUUCGGGUUGUAAACUGAUUUCGCCUGUGACGAAGAGUGAGUGACGGUAAUGGGUAAAGAAGCACCGGCUAACUACGUG